rnacentral:rRNA from 1 species
GUUGAAGUGAAGGUAAAGCUUCAUGGAGGACCGAACCAGACGUCCGCUGAAAAGGGCGGGGAUGACCUGUGGAUAGCGGAGAAAUUCCAAUCGAACCCGGAGAUAGCUGGUUCUCUCCGAAAUAGCUUUAGGGCUAGCCUCGAUUGAACAUUACCGGAGGUAAAGCACUGAAUGGGCUAGGGGCCGAGAGGUUACUGAACCCUAUCAAACUAAGAAUGCCGGAUAAUGAUGAUC